AUUAAUUUAGGAGGGUAAAUCCGCUGAAUUUUAAAAAUUGCUAAAAUAUAACUAAGCGGAAGAAAAGAAAAUAACUAUGAUUCCUUUAGUAACAGCGCGUGAAAAAGGAUAAGCUCAAUUUAGAGAAUCCUACGAUUUUUUUUUAAAAGAAUUUUAGGAAUUGUUUCUUUUUUUAUAUAAUAUAUAUACUCUAUAUGAUAACUGUUCUUUGGAUUAUAUAUUACGUAAUGUGUAUAUACAUCUAUUUUACGGGUACACAAGAGCAAAGAUAUUAAAAAACAAAUAGGAAAUAUAAUGGAACAUUAUCCCAGAGAGGGUGAAAGGCCCGUACUUGUUUUAAUAUCUACCUUGUGCUUAAAUUAGAGUUAAAAAUAAAGAAUGAGUUGUGUUUGAUGAAUAUGGGACACUAAUACGUGUGAUAAAAAUUCACAUAAAGCUAAAUAUGUGUAGGAGACCGAUAGCAAACAAGUACCGUAAGGGAAAGAUGAAAUAGUACUCAGGAAUGAGCCAUUAAAUAGUACCUGAAAUCGUUAAGGUGGAAAGGAUUAAGAGCGUGAAGACGUAAGGGUUUUAUUAAAAAGUAUGUACAUGUGUAUAUAUAUAUAUAUAUGUAUGUAUAAGAGAGAAUUUCAUUUUCUCUUUGAUAAUUUCCUUAUUAUAAUAAACAAAAGUGAAUGAGAGAAAUUUUGAAGAUUGAAGUAAUUUUUUAAAAAAAUUAAAGAAUUAAUUAUAUAUAUAGUAAUAAAUUUUUAUUUAUUUUUAUUUAUUUUUAUGUAAUUGAUUAUUUUUUUUUUUUAAAGAAUGUGAAUGAAUGAAUGGAAAACACUUCUUUCUGAUUAAAAACAUUUCUAUUUACUUAGGAAUAUAAAAUAUAUAUGUAAAAAUAGAAAGUAUUUAUAUUUUUUGUUUUUAUGUAUGUAUAAGUUGUUUAUAAAAAAUACUCUCUUAAACCGACCGUCUUGAAACACGGACCAAGGAGUCUAUCAAAUAUGCAAGUGUAUAUGUUUAGAGGAAACAUGUAAAUUUUUUGUAUACACGCAUAGAUGUUCCAAAUGUGUGAUAUAUGUAAGAAGUGUGCACACAAAAGAUAUGUAUGUAUAUAUGUAUGUGUGGGUGGGCUUUUUAUAUAUUUUCAUUUUCAUUUGAUUUGUAGAUUUUGUUAUGAGAUGAAAAAAAUAGAAAUGGAAAAAGAAAUGAAAAUAAUUAAAAUUAAUUUUUUUUUUGUUUUUGUUUUUUUUUUUUUCUUUUACUUUUUGUAAUUUUUUUAUUUUUUUUAUUUUUCAUUUCAUGCAUACAAAUUACUUAUUAUAUUAAAAACAGAAGAAUUAAAAUCAAGAAUUAUAACAUGUUAAGAAAUAUUUAUUAUUUUUUUUUGUGUUUCUUUUCUAGAUUUUUUUUUUUCUUAUGUUUUUAAUUGUGAGUAAAGAGUAUAUUUGAUAGGACCCGAAGGGCUUUGAACUAUACAUGUAAUAAAAUUAUUUGAGAACAUGAGAGUCUUUUUAUGGUUAAAAAAGUGUUAUUCUUAAAUAAAUAUGUAUCAUUAAUUUUUAGUGAAUUUGUAUAUAUUUAAGGAUCCUUUUUUUUUUCCAUUAUUACAUUGUAGGAAAUAUAAAAAAUGAAAAGUCUUAUUAGCUGGUUAUUUUCGAAAGAUCUCUCGAGAUCACUGGAGUUGAUUUUGAUAUAUUUUUAUCGUAUCAAAUAAAUUAAAAUAUAUAUAUAUAUAUAUAUAUAUAUACACAAUGUUGAUAUAAAAGAUCUAAUUGUGAAUUUGUAAAUUUAUAUUUUAAUUUGUUUUGAUAUUUUGGUAAAAAGUGUAAAUAAGAUAAAUAUAUAUAAGUAGUAUAUUAUAUUAUUUUAUUUAUAUAAAAAUAAGAUAACUCCAAGUGUACCAUUUUUUCGUAAAAAAAAAUUGGUAAUGAGGGAUGCUCCUAAUGCUUGGAUAAGGUGCCUAAGUAUUCGCUCAUGAGAUUCUGUUUAAAAAAAAAAGGUGUUGGUUCAUGAUAACAGUAGGACGAUAUUCAUGGAAGUUGAAAUUCGCUAAGGAGUGUGUAAAAACUCACCUUCCGAGUGAACUUGCCCUUAUAAUGGAUGGCGCUAAAGUGAAUUACCGAAACCAAGCCAUAAAAAGAUAAAGAAAAAAAAAAAAAAAUAUUAAAAAAAAAUUAAAAAAUUAUAAUCAACUGGGGAAAAGGUGUAAAGAAGAAAUUUUUUUUUUUUUUUUAUUCCUUUUUUCUUUUUGUUUGUUUUUUUUUUUUAUUAUUUAUUUUAUUUUUUUUUUAUUUUUCUUGGUUUUGAACUUUUUAUGUGUAGAAAAUCGUGGGGUUUGUGUUGAAGCGAAAUACGUGAGUUUUCGUGGAACAUCUCCCUAGUGCAGAUCUUGGUGGAAGUAGCAAAUAUUACAAAUGAAAAACUUUGAAUGACUAAAGUGGAGAUGGGUUUCUUGUAUAUAGAUUUAUUAAUUUAAAUUUACAAGAGUUAGUCGCUUGCUUAUGAGUUUGCUACUUUUGUUUUUUUUCUGAAUGGAUGUCUCUUUAUUUUUUAUGAAGAGAUAAUGAAAAGAAAAGUUUAGCAUACGUGACAAGGGGGUAUGUUUUAUGAUCGAACUUGUAUCAACCGCUUCUCUGAUUAUACUAAGAGAUGGCAUACAUUUAAUCUCUAUCACCUAUAAAAUUUCCUCUACUCAAAUAAAAGUAAACAGGUUAAUAUUCCUGUACGUUCAUAAAGAUUUAAGUAAGAUAGGUAAUGGUAACAUUUGAAUGCUGAACUCCUAUAUAUAGUAGCUACGUUCGGAGUGCGUAUUUUGAAUUAUAUUCCUUUAUAAUUAUUGCACAUGAAAAUAUAUAUAGCUAGGCCUAUGUCUUAAAUGCAAGAGUCGUAUACUUAGGGUGGCUUAGCACAGCGGUCGGCAUAUGAAAAUUGGCAAAUAUAGAAGGAUGAAUUUAUUCAUAUAUAAUUUAUUAGAUCAUAGAUUUUAUUUUUAUAAUAAUUUCUUGUUCUGUAUUUUAUAUAUGAAAUUCAUUCUUUUUGUUUGUAUCAAUAGUAAUUCUAUUAAAAUUUAGGGAAUUACCCGAAACUGUAUUACUAUCACUGAAUGUAGGAGGGAUAUAUCUUAUAAGUUUUAGAGAUGUAAUUUAUAUUAUAUUCUUUAAUUCCUUAUUUGACCGUUCUUAAUUUUUAUAACAGCGUACCUAUAAUAGCCGCUUGAGGUCUCCUAGGUUAACAGCCUCUAGUUUAUAUAGAUUAUAUAAUAGCAAAGGAAGUCGUUCCAUAAGCACUCAGAUAAUAUAUAUAUAUAUAUAUGUAUAUAUAUAUGUAUAUAUAUAUAUAUAAUAUUUGGAUGUCCGGAAUUUAGGGAAAUAAAUUUAUAUUGAGUUAUAUUAUAGGAGUAAAAGUAAAUUAUAGAGAAGAGGCGAAAAAUUAAAGAAAGAACGAGAUUAGAGUGAUUCUUCGGCAUAUUAUGUAAAAUUAUAUAGGUGUGCACAUGUAUAAACUAGACGAAAGAUAGUUUCUGCGUGUAUGUAUAUAUAUGUAUACGUAUGAGACGUUUAGUAGGAGUGUAAAAGUUAUUAUGUGUGCAUGCCUGUAUUCUGCUUUAUACGUAUGUUUAAAGGCUUUCUCUUUUUUUUAAGUAUUUCUUUAAUUUUUAUUUCCCCCCUCUUUUCAAUUUUCAAUAUGUAUAUAUGUAUAUAUAUAUGUAUAUAUGUAUUGUUAAUAUAUACAUACUGUUUACUUAAUAUAAACUCAGUAUAGUAUACGGAUAAUGUUUGAGGGUUAAAUGGUUUCUAGUCACUGUGAAUGAAAUAAAAGAUCAUAUAAUAUUUAUAUUAUAUUGGCCUUAUUCUAUGUAUGCAAAUAUAUAUAUUAUAUAUAUGUAUGUUCUAUACGUAUAUAUAUGUAUAUAUAUCCUUGUUAUAUUAUAGCACGGUGAUACGUCCUUCCGCGUUCCUAGUAAGUCGGUGUUGAAGUGCUUCGAUUGCGUACAAUGGGAGGGGUGGUUGCAAUGAAGGUUUAUUAUUAUAUAAUUUUUAUAUUUUAAUAUUCCUAGUUGCAACAGCAAUUUAACCUUUGUCACGUAACACUGAGAAGGUUGAUUUUUUUUUUUUAUACAUAUCCUAUAGAAAUUGUAUAACCCUCACGACAUAUACCUUACUAUAAUUUAUCUAGCGAAACCACAACCAAGGGAACAGGCUUGGUAAAAUCAGUAGAGAAAGUAAGCUAUUAUUUCUGUUGAAGAAUUUAUUAUUUACCCAAAUUUGUAACUUUUGUAAAACUACUUAAGAGGUGUAGAUAUA
rnacentral:rRNA from 1 species